UCCCGGGGUGCUCCGCGCGCUCCUACAAUCACUUCCGGGGUGGGCCGGGCGUAGCGCUGUCGGCCGGUGAGGGAACGUGCAGCUGCAUCUGGAGGGUGGCGCGGGAAGCGGAGGCCCUGCAGCCAUGUCUGAGCUCAGCGAUGAAGCCAGCGAGCCGGAGCUCCUGAACUGCAGCUUGUCCAUGUGGUAUGGGCUUGGUGCACAGGUCAGCCGAGAGGAGCUGGAUGUCCCCUUGGAUCUUCACACAGCUGCCUCCAUUGGCCAGUAUGAGGUGGUGAAGGAAUGUGUGCAGCGGAGAGAGGCAGAUCUGAAUAAGAAGAAUGGCGGUGGUUGGACCCCGCUGAUGUAUGCCUCCUACAUUGGACACGAUACCAUUGUCCACCUGCUGCUCGAGGCAGGGGUGAGUGUGAAUGUGCCGACCCCAGAAGGGCAGACUCCACUGAUGCUGGCCUCCAGCUGUGGCAACGAGAGCAUCGCCUACUUUCUGCUCCAGCAAGGUGCAGAGCUUGAAAUGAAAGACAUCCAGGGCUGGACUGCACUCUUCCACUGCACCAGUGCCGGCCACCAGCAGAUGGUCAAGUUCCUCCUGGACAGUGGAGCCAAUGCCAACGUAAGGGAGCCUGUAUAUGGAUUCACUCCUUUGAUGGAAGCAGCUGCCUCUGGCCAUGAGAUAAUUGUGCAGUAUUUUCUGAAUCAUGGAGUCAAAGUAGACAUAAGAGACCACAGUGGAGCCACGGCCCGGAUGCUGGCCAGGCAGUAUGGUCACAUGAAGAUAGUGGCCUUGAUGGACACUCACUCGCCUGCACUGCCUAAGAGCCUUUACCGGAGCCCAGAAAAAUAUGAAGAUCUGAGCUCGUCAGACGAGUCCUGGCCUGUUCCUCAGCGCCAGAGGCCCUGUCGAAAGAAGGGCCUCAGCAUCCACGAGGGCCCACGUGCCCUGGCCAGGAUCACAGCUAUUGGACUUGGAGGCAAGAUUCAGACCAACUAUGAGCAAGUUCCUCCACGGGGAUAUGUGACCUUUACCAGCAGUGAUGAGAACACCCUGGAAGUUGAGGGCCUCUGCUACCGAGAUGUCACCUCCCCCAUUAAUGAGCGGGAUGUGGAGAGCAGCAGCAGCAGCAGCCGGGAGGAACCCACUUUCUGUGCCAGUCUCGGACCCGUGUGGAGGAGCAGCAGCAGCGACGGCCUGGCAAGAGCCCAGGGGCUCAGCAGUGAAGCCUCCAUAGAAAGCAAUGAGGAUUCUGAUCAUACCCGCAAAAGCUCGGUUCGCAAACAAACCAAGAGUUAUUUGAAGAGUAAGAGUCGUUACAGCAACAGUGACAGUCAGUGGCCUUCCAGCACAGGGACUGCAUGCACCCCAGGAUCUGAACCCCAAGCUGAGAAGUCCUCCUACUCAGGACCUCAGGACCUUGCCACACUGCUGGAGCAGAUUGGGUGUCUGAAGUACCUGCAAGUGUUUGAGGAGCAGGAUGUGGACCUUCGUAUCUUCCUGACCCUCACUGAAAGUGACCUGAAGGAAAUCGGCAUCACGUUGUUUGGGCCUAAAAGGAAGAUGACCUCUGCCAUUGCCCGCUGGCACAGUAGUGCCCGCCCUCCUAGUGAUGCACUGGAGCUGGCCUAUGCUGACCGGCUAGAGGCUGAGAUGCAGGAGCUCGCCAUCCAGCUGCACAAAUGCUGUGAGGAGGCAGAGGCUCUCCGUGGCCAGGUGUCCCAAGAGCAGGAAUUGCGGGCUGUAGUAGAGAGCUGCCUCCUGGAGCAGGAUAGUGCCCGAAAGGACAUCCAUGCCCAGCUGCAGGAGGCCCAGACCCUGGCCAAGGAUGCUGCCCUUGUCCUGGACCAGCUGCGGGCCUGUCAGGCUGAGCUGUCAGCUCGAGUGAGGCAGGACCAGUCCCCCAGCGAAGCUGCCCUGAGGCCAGCCUUUCUCUCAGCAGGUGAGAAGAGCAGUAGCCUGGCUUUGGACUAGGUCAGGGUGCAUGGCUGGUACAGUGGCAACCCUGUCCCCAGAACAAGCCCAUUUGGGAGAAGAGAUGCACUGUCGCACUUAGGGGUAGACGGCAAGUGGGAGGGCUUGUUCAUGGCUGACUACACUGUCUUUAAGGCCUCCAGUGGAGUUGGGUGGCUGGGGCCCCCAAGGUUGAGCUCUACUUAGGCCUGCGCCUUAAGUAGCAGUUGUUAAAACCUUGUAGCUGGGUACAUCCCUGCCUGGGGUGGUCACUCAUGCAUCAGCAGUGAGGGAGGAUAUACCUAUGGCCAACUUGCCCUUCUGUACCACAGAUUCCAAAGGCUGGCCUAUUCCCCUGCAGGCCUUGAGUCUCCCUGAGCUGUCAGGGGCCCUGGAAGACUGUGUCCAUGAGAUGGAUUCUGACGUUGGGUGAUGGAUCCACCCUGAAGUUACAUGUGCCAUGCAAGACAGGGCAGUGAGCAGAUGGCUGCAGCAGCCCAGGGGAUGGAAAGCCAGCCCAGGGAGCAGCUUGUGAACAGGAGGACAGGACUUCAGUCCCUGCCAGGGCAGCUUGGGCCAGCCCUGAGGCGGAAUGAAAGGCCUGGCACCCGGAUAAGCGGGUAGGCGGCUCUGGCCUAGACAGGACUGUGUGAAAAGAGUGUGCCCCUGCACAUGCAGGUGCCACACUGAGGUGUGUUUGGUCUUAAGGUGAGGUCUGGGGUACCUAGAAAAUGUUUGUUGGAAAAUAAAAUUACUUGCAAGUUG